rnacentral:rRNA from 1 species
UACGUAGGGCGCAAGCGUUGUCCGGAAUUAUUGGGCGUAAAGAGCUCGUAGGCGGCUUGUCACGUCGAUUGUGAAAGCCCGAGGCUUAACCUCGGGGUCUGCAGUCGAUACGGGCUAGCUAGAGUGUGGUAGGGGAGAUCGGAAUUCCUGGUGUAGCGGUGAAAUGCGCAGAUAUCGGGGAAGAACACCCGUGGCGAAGGCGGCUCUCUGGGACGGUACUGACGCUGAGACGCGAAAGCGUGGGGAGCGAACAGG